rnacentral:rRNA from 1 species
UGAGGAAUAUUGGACAAUGGGCGCAAGCCUGAUCCAGCCAUCCCGCGUGCAGGAAGAAUGCCCUAUGGGUUGUAAACUGCUUUUUCGCAUGAAGAACACCCCUGACGUGUCAGGGGCUGACGGUAAUGCGUGAAUAAGCACCGGCUAACUCCGUGCCAGCAGCCGCGGUAAUACGGAGGGUGCAAGCGUUAUCCGGAUUUAUUGGGUUUAAAGGGUGCGUAGGCGGCUUUUUAAGUCAGUGGUGAAAUCCUGCAGCUCAACUGUAGAACAGCCAUUGAAACUGAAGAGCUUGAGUAAUCUUGAGGUAGGCGGAAUGUGUAGUGUAGCGGUGAAAUGCUUAGAUAUUGCACAGAACACCGAUUGCGAAGGCAGCUUACUAAGGAUUUACUGACGCCGAUGCACGAAAGCGUGGGGAUCAAACA